AUAAAACAAACUCGCUAUGUAAGAACUGUAAAAAGUGAUAUU
rnacentral:guide_RNA from 1 species